rnacentral:rRNA from 1 species
AAUCAUCUUAGUAGGUUGAGGAAAAGAGAAUAAACAAUGAUUCCGAAAGUAGUGGCGAGCGAAAUUGGAACAGCCCAAACCUUAACAUAACCAUACGGUUUAACGGCCAGAGUUAUGAAAGGGGUUGUGAAAUUAGAUAAUUUUUAUGUAUAGCCGUUGACAACAUCGAAGCCUACUCACUUUUGAGGAACAUCAGCUCGGCCGAGCGGCCAUGAGCGCUUCCGAAAAAGUGAGUAGGUGACGAUCCGACAGUUAUACAUAAAAACCAACAUCGUUAAAUGAGUGGAUAAUGAUAAAAUCCUUUAGAUCAUAGCAGAAGUGUUUGAAUGGCACACCAUAGAAGGUGAGAGUCCUGUACGCGAAAUGGUCUUAGGCAUUAUAUAUCUUUUUUCAAGUAGGACGGGGCACGAGAAACCCUGUUUGAAUCCGGCAGGACCACCUGCCAAGGCUAAAUAUAUUGAUUGAUCGAUAGCGAACUAGUACAGUGAUGGAAAGGUGAAAAGAACCCCGGGAGGGGAGUGAAAUAGAUCCUGAAACUUAGUGCCUACAAGGUGUCGGAGCAGCUUCGGCUGUGACGGCGUGCUUUUUGUAGAACGAUCCAGCGAGUUAAUGUUGUCGGCGAGGCUAAGUCAAAUGAUGGAGCCACAGUGAAAGCGAGCCUUAACAGGGCGAAUAGUCGGCAGUAUUAGACCCGAAACCGGGUGACCUAACCAUGAGCAGGUUGAAGCUGCGGUAACACGCAGUGGAGGACCGAACCAGGGUACGCAGUAAAGUGCUUGGAUGACUUGUGGUUAGCGGUGAAAUGCCAAUCGAACUCGGAGAUAGCUGGUUCUCCUCGAAAUAGCUUUAGGGCUAGCGUUGUGUUAGUAAUCAUCAGGGGUAGAGCUCUGAAAAGGUUUGGGGCCGGCAACGGUACCCACCCUUAUCAAACUACGAAUACUGGUGGUGUAACCACAGCAGUCAGAACGGCGGGGCUAAGCUCGUCGCUCAAAAGGGAAACAGCCCAGAUCAUCGUCUAAGGUCCCCAAUUAACACUAAGUGGGAAACAAAGUGAAAUUUCUUAAACAGCUAGGAUGUUGGCUUAGAAGCAGCCAUUCAUUUAAAGAGUGCGUAACAGCUCACUAGUCAAGAGAUUUUGCGUGGAAAAUGUAACGGGGCUAAAGUGUUAAACCGAAGACAUGGACUUCUGCCUAUGCAGGAGUGGUAGAGGAGCGUUGAUAUCGCAGUGAAGUCAGAUUGGAAAGUCUGGUGGAGCGUUAUCAAGUGAGAAUGCUGGAAUUAGUAACCUUAAGACAGGUGAGAAUCCUGUCGGUCGUAAGAGCAAGGUUUCCAGGGCUACAGUAAUUGCCCCUGGGUUAGUCGGUCCUAAGCCGAGGCGUAUCAGCGUAGGCGAUGGACAACAGGUUAAUAUUCCUGUACAGGUAGUAGUUGUGAACAGUUCACGGUGAAUGACUGGAGCGGAUUAAUGGUUUAUCCGUCCAAGUCUUUAGGGAACUAAAGAUGAGUGAAAGGUAAUCUUCGGAUUAUUGAUUCUGGGUGAAGCACUGGCUAGAAAAGCUGGUUCACUUAUGCUGCUGCCUACCGUACCGCAAACCAACACCGGUGCUCGGGUCGAGUAGACCAAGACCUACGUGAGAACCUUCGCUAAGGAACUCGGCAAAAAAGCGUCCGUAACUUCGGAAUAAGGACUGCCCUCUCAUUAAGAUGAGGAUUUGCUAGAAACUCAGCAGAAGAUUCAGAUUACCUUUUAACUGAAUUUUUCGUUGAGACAGAACACAAAACAGGAUUUGUUUAACAAAUUCGUGUCUUUUCUAGUAGUCUAAUCGUCAUUUUGAUGAGAGGGCCGCAGCUAAAGAGCCCACGGAACUGUUUACCAAAAACAUAGGUCUCUGCUAACGCGAAAGCGGAUGUAUAGGGGCUGACUCCUGCCCGGUGUCGGAAGGUUAAGGGGAGAGCUUUACGGUUCAAACUGAAGCCCCGAUGAACGGCGGCGAUAACUAUGAUCGUCCUAAGGUAGCGAAAUUCCUUGUCGGGUAAGUUCAGACCCGCACGAAU